ensembl:lncRNA
UUCAGGUCCUGAUUGGUGAAAUAGUGUUGUUUGACACGCAACGACCCAAACGGCGUUCCAUAGAAAUCCCUGGUUGAGAAUGAAACAACUGAACAACGAAACAGCACAGCAAAGCUCCUUGGUCUUCAUGGUGCCGCUUGCUUGAUGGUGCCCUUUGCUGAGUGGUGUUGCAGACUCUGGGGCCUUUCAGAACAGUAUGCUCUCUCUCGGAGGAGGAGGAGGACCUGCGCCCUAGGACCAUGCCUCAGGACUACCUGGCAUGAUGACUCCUUGCUGUCCCCAGUCCACCUGGCCACGCUGCUGCUCCAGUUUCAAUUGUUCUGCCUGCGGCUAUGGAACCCUGACCUGUUCACCGGAUGUGCUACCUGUCCCAGACCUGCGGUUUUCAACUCUCUAGAGACAGCAGGAGCGGUAGAGAUACUCUCAAUGAUCGGCUAUGAAAAGCCAACUGACAUUUACUCCUGAGGUGCUAACCUGUUGCAUCCUCGACAACUACUGUGAUUAUUAUUAUUUGACCCUGCUGGUCAUUUAUGAACAUUUGAACAUCUUGGCAAUGUUCUGUUAUAAU